AACGAACGCUGGCGGCAGGCCUAACACAUGCAAGUCGAACGCCCCGCAAGGGGAGUGGCAGACGGGUGAGUAACACGUGGGAACCUACCUUGAGGUACGGAACAACCAAGGGAAACUUUGGCUAAUACCGUAUGAGCCCGAGAGGGGAAAGAUUUAUCGCCUUGAGAUGGGCCCGCGUCGGAUUAGCUAGUUGGUGUGGUAAUGGCGCACCAAGGCGACGAUCCGUAGCUGGUCUGAGAGGAUGACCAGCCACACUGGGACUGAGACACGGCCCAGACUCCUACGGGAGGCAGCAGUGGGGAAUAUUGGACAAUGGGCGCAAGCCUGAUCCAGCCAUGCCGCGUGUGUGAUGAAGGCCUUAGGGUUGUAAAGCACUUUCGCCGAUGAAGAUAAUGACGGUAGUCGGAGAAGAAGCCCCGGCUAACUUCG
rnacentral:rRNA from 1 species